CAAAGCUGUCUCUUACGGCCUAGCCAAUGAAAUUGAUCCUCCAGUACAAAAGCUGGAAUAAACUCAUAAGACGAGAAGACCCUGUGGAGCUUCAAAACCAAGAUCAUUAAACUAUGCUCCUUGGAUUUUUAGUUGGGGCGACUUUGGAGCAAAAAAAACCCUCCAAAACAUAAAUUUAAUUAUUUAGACCAACACACCAAGAAAAUUAUAUUAGACCCAGCAGUAUUUUUUUACUGUCUGACCAAUGAACCAAGUUACCCCAGGGAUAACAGCGCUAUCCUCUUCUAGAGUCCCUAUCGACAAGAGGGUUUACGACCUCGAUGUUGG
rnacentral:rRNA from 1 species